UGACUGCCCAUUAUACAAAAUAUUUGACCAUCCAAUGCAUCAACCUGGAGAGUCAUAUAAUGAUAAUAAUAUAAAAAAUAUCUUUGCAGGUGAAGUAUCUGUCAGGACUUGGAGGUUUUGGGCAAAAGGAUGUAAUUAAGUACAUAAUGCAACAUGUCAUAACAGAUGAUCUGGCUAAGGAGUUCAACUGGCAGAGAGGAGAUAAAAGACCCUUCUCUAAGCUUAUUUUACCAGAUGUGAUCAGAGGUAAACUUGCCGCUGCAUGAACACUUUCCACAUACUUUACCAAUGUUUGGGUUUAUUCUGAUUUUGUCUGCAGUUGUCUAAUGUGAAGACAACUUGUCUUCACAUUAAUUCACUUCAGUAGUGUAAGCAUAAGGAAUAAUUCAAGAGAUGAGAUGUCUACCAUUUUGAGUGUACAAAAUAUUUGCAUCUGUACGAGGGUCUAUGCAGUUCUUGAGAAUGAGAAAUUAUUUUUCAUGUUUCCUCUUUCAGAUGCUGCUCAGAAGCACAAAAUUAACCUGGUAGACUGUGAAACUGAAAUAAAAAAAUAUUUACAAAAAAUGAGUUACAAGGCUGAUCGACUUGGUCGGAAGAGACCAAGAGAGUAUGAAGGUUCUCAAAAUGAAAUCCUAAAUGUGACAUCUCACACAGCCCUUGACAGCACCAUCCAGUCAGUCACUGAAAGUCAGCCUUUUUUUGUGUGACAGAGUUUUGAAUCAUUUACUUAUAGGCCAUACAGCAUGUAGGCCUAAGUGCAAACACAUCAACAUUUAUUUUUUGGAGAACUAUAUAUGUACUAAUCUAUCAUAUAAUUCCAUUUGCCACUGGGUAUUGUGUCUAUAUAAAUAUGAUUAUUAUUAUUUUUUUUAAUUUUUAGGAUGCCAAGAAAUCAUGAAAUAUUGGAGAAUGCGUUUGAUGUAUUAUUUCUGCAUGAUUGGGCAUGUUUUCAGGUGUUUAACAGUAGUCACCUUAGCAUGUUUGUCUGAUUGUCUGAUUUCCUCAAUAUUCAAACAACACAUUUUCUAAACGUGUAAAUAGCUUUGAUUCUACAUAGGCUGUCUUUUCAGUUUCUCAAAGAUAUGAUGAUUUCUUUAAAAUAAACCAGAAUUUAAUAUAAUUUCUCCUAUUUGU
ensembl:lncRNA